GCAAACUUGGUCAUUUAGAGGAAGUAAAAGUCGUAACAAGGUAACCGUAGGUGAACCUGCGGUUGGAUCAUUAACAAAUUAAAUAUGAGGCCAGAAAGGCGGAAGCCCUUCUUGGUUUUUCAUAAACCCCAACCCUUGUGCACUAAUAUUUUUGUAUUUUUUUGGCGUAGGUGGCCGCCUUUAGUGGCCAUUAAUCUCUUUCAUAAGAGGCCUUGCCAAAAUUUGGAAUCCCUAUUAGUUUAGGGCUUCCAAUUAUUAUUAAACCCUUUAGAAAAACUUGUCUAAUAACAUUUUUUUUAAUAUAAAAAUUAUAAAAAACAACUUUUGACAACGGAUCUCUAGGCUCUCGCAUCGAUGAAGAACGCAGC
rnacentral:misc_RNA from 1 species